rnacentral:lncRNA from 1 species
GGGGACAUUGUUUGCUUUCAAAGAUGUCUUCCAUUUGGAUAUCAUCUGAAAUAUCAGUAUCCGGAUGUUCAUUCAUUUCUGGAACACAAAUCUAACUGCCUGGAAAAAUCACUUCCAAUACUUGAAUGUAAGUGGAAUACCUGAAAUCAUAUCCCUGUUCUUGUUAUUUAUUUAUUUUUUUUCGCCUUUACUUGUGUGCUUCAUAUUCUCUUGCAAAUUCCAUUGAAACAAUUUUUUAUUUUUGGUAAAUUAUUACAGUUUUGGAGAUUAUUUCUUAGUUUAUCAACGGUGUAAUACCGUGGCUGAGUUAGGAGCAACUUCAUUAAGGCUAAACAAUAUAUUAACCACUGACAAAUAUAUCCUUUAGUGCUCAUCUGAUAAUCGGUAUUAGACAAGACUAGAAUGGAUAAUAGAUAAAAAAUUUAACUUCUCUUCUUCUUUAGCUAUGUUCAGUGCUAUGCAUCCGAUUUAUCUUCUCAAACACGUCAUUAAUUUCUCUAUAAAUGAGAGAACCCUCCCCACCCCCACAAUCAAGAAGCUGGAGGGGCCCUCCAUGCCCAAGUGCUGAUAAGGAUUCACUAGCUGCUCCCAAAUUUAUCAGGCAUAUAUUUUUAUUGUUGCAGGUACGGGGAAGCAAGCAUAGAGAAAGAUGCACUUGCAAGAUUACUUGCUUUUGGCCUCUAGAAUGGAAGUCUGUGUUAGAUCUUUCAGUUUGGCUACCAGUAAUGGAGAAUUUGAUGCUCUAGUCACAUAAUAACAACCUUUGAUUGGGAUAUUUGAUCAAAGGUAAAGCUGUUUAUUAUCUGUAAAAUAUGAACUUUACUCGGAAAUAACUGAGGAUGGUUCGUCGACUCUCACUUGGAUUUAGAUUAUGUUGUAAUAAUCAAUGAUGC